rnacentral:ncRNA from 1 species
UCGUAAGGACGACCUUACGCCAAUACGACGAACGGGGACGGCCCC